rnacentral:rRNA from 1 species
CCUACGGGAGGCAGCAGUGAGGAAUAUUGGUCAAUGGGCGGGAGCCUGAACCAGCCAAGUAGCGUGAAGGAUGACUGCCCUAUGGGUUGUAAACUUCUUUUAUAUGGGAAUAAAAUGUUCCACGUGUGGGAUUUUGUAUGUACCAUAUGAAUAAGGAUCGGCUAACUCCGUGCCAGCAGCCGCGGUAAUACGGAGGAUCCGAGCGUUAUCCGGAUUUAUUGGGUUUAAAGGGAGCGUAGGUGGAUUGUUAAGUCAGUUGUGAAAGUUUGCGGCGCAACCGUAAAAUUGCAGUUGAAACUGGCAGUCUUGAGUACAGUAGAGGUGGGCGGAAUUCGUGGUGUAGCGGUGAAAUGCUUAGAUAUCACGAAGAACUCCGAUUGCGAAGGCAGCUCACUGGACUGCAACUGACACUGAGGCUCGAAAGUGUGGGUAUCAAACAGGAUUAGAUACCCUGGUAGUC